rnacentral:rRNA from 1 species
ACUCAAAUGAAUUGACGGGGGCCCGCACAAGCGGUGGAGCAUGUGGAUUAAUACGUCACUAACCGUAGAACCUUACCCAGGCUUGACAUCUGCGGAACUUUCCUGAAAGGGAGAGGUGCCUCGCAAGAGGAGCCGCAAGACAGGUGUUGCAUGGCUGUCGUCAGCUCGUGUCGUGAGAUGUUGGGUUAAGUCCCGCAACGAGCGCAACCCUCACCGUCUGUUGCCAGCGACGGCUUGUCCGGUCGGGCACUCUGACGGAACUGCCCGGGUAACCGGGAGGAAGGUGAGGACGACGUCAAGUCAGCAUGGCCCUUACGCCUGGGGCUUCACACAUGCUACAAUGGCCGGUACAGAGGGCACCGAUACCGUGAGGUGGAGGCAAUCCCAAAAAGCCGGUCUCAGUUCGGAUCGCAGGCUGCAACUCGCCUGCGUGAAGUCGGAAUCGCUAGUAACCGCCGGUCAGCUAAACGGCGGUGAAUACGUUCCCGGGCCUUGUACACACCGCCCGU